rnacentral:rRNA from 1 species
AAAAAUGCACAUGCUGUGAGCUCGAUGAGUAGGGCGGGACACGUGGUAUCCUGUCUGAAUAUGGGGGGACCAUCCUCCAAGGCUAAAUACUCCUGACUGACCGAUAGUGAACCAGUACCGUGAGGGAAAGGCGAAAAGAACCCCGGCGAGGGGAGUGAAAAAGAACCUGAAACCGUGUACGUACAAGCAGUGGGAGCACGCUUAGGCGUGUGACUGCGUACCUUUUGUAUAAUGGGUCAGCGACUUAUAUUCUGUAGCAAGGUUAACCGAAUAGGGGAGCCGAAGGGAAACCGAGUCUUAACUGGGCGUUAAGUUGCAGGGUAUAGACCCGAAACCCGGUGAUCUAGCCAUGGGCAGGUUGAAGGUUGGGUAACACUAACUGGAGGACCGAACCGACUAAUGUUGAAAAAUUAGCGGAUGACUUGUGGCUGGGGGUGAAAGGCCAAUCAAACCGGGAGAUAGCUGGUUCUCCCCGAAAGCUAUUUAGGUAGCGCCUCGUGAAUUCAUCUCCGGGGGUAGAGCACUGUUUCGGCAAGGGGGUCAUCCCGACUUACCAACCCGAUGCAAACUGCGAAUACCGGAGAAUGUUAUCACGGGAGACACACGGCGGGUGCUAACGUCCGUCGUGAAGAGGGAAACAACCCAGACCGCCAGCUAAGGUCCCAAAGUCAUGGUUAAGUGGGAAACGAUGUGGGAAGGCCCAGACAGCCAGGAUGUUGGCUUAGAAGCAGCCAUCAUUUAAAGAAAGCGUAAUAGCUCACUGGUCGAGUCGGCCUGCGCGGAAGAUGUAACGGGGCUAAACCAUGCAC